rnacentral:rRNA from 1 species
UAGGGAAUCUUGCGCAAUGGGCGAAAGCCUGACGCAGCGACGCCGCGUGAGCGAUGAAGGCCUUCGGGUUGUAAAGCUCUGUGGGGAGGGAAGAAUAAGGGCGAGCUAAUACCUCGUUCGAUGACGGUACCUCCUUAGCAAGCACCGGCUAACUCUGUGCCAGCAGCCGCGGUAAGACAGAGGGUGCAAACGUUGUUCGGAAUUACUGGGCGUAAAGCGUGCGCAGGCGGCCUUGCAAGUCGGGCGUGAAAUCCCACGGCUCAACCGUGGAAGUGCACUCGAAACUGCUCGGCUAGAGUCUUGGAGAGGAAGGCGGAAUGCUUGGUGUAGAGGUGAAAUUCGUAGAUAUCAAGCGGAACACCGGUGGCGAAGGCGGCCUUCUGGACAAUGACUGACGCUAAAACACGAAAGCGUGGGGAGCAAACAG